GGUACAGUCCAUUACUCUGUCGUUCCACAGGCUUUCCACCUCUGUCUCUUCUGGAUACAACAGGGACUGGUGUCCUUUGAUCGUGUACUUCUCCCCCAGGUCAGUGGCAGGCACUGCAGGCAGUGGAUGGUAAAAGUGGACAACCAUGUAAAAUACUCUCUCACAAAAGAGAACACUGUAUUUGAGCUGAUAAUGAGGGUAGCAGUCGCAUCAAUCAUUCAUAUGUUUAAAUCUAAGAAUAAGACAGACGGCUUGCUGCAAGCGUGGCUCGUAGAAAGGCAAAGACCCUAUUUUUAAAGACCAAAUGUUUCAUGCACUUCUACGUCUGACCUAGAAAGUGAUUUAUUUCUCCAUUUGCAAGAAUUAGUACUGAAAUUAAUAUUAAUCAAUGGCAAGGAAGAGCAGAAUGGAGAAUGGUCCUGUGAUGGAUGAUCACAAAAUUCUCCCUGCUGUGAUCUCUCGCUUUCAGAAAAGAGUGUUCCCACCCCUUCGUAUAUAUUCGCCUUGUUUGGAAGACUGCUUGUGAGCCUUAGAAUGGCCUUUACGUUAUAUUUGAGGUCCAGAGAAGUUUAGCAGUUAGUUAAGCUCACAUGGCUGGUUAGAGGCAGAGCUGGGCCUAAAGUCUUGGAUCGUUUCCCAGCCCAGUGCUCAUUCUACUGUAUCACACUGUGAAACUCUUAUGUUGAUCACUGUGAGUGCUUAAUAAAUACUAGACUUCUAACAGCAGCUUAUUUUCUCCUGAUUGCCAAGUAGUUUGUUGCAAUUCAUAUUUAUUUGAACUGAAAACCACUGCCUUCUGACGGCUAGUCUCUUGUUUAUAGGAAAUGAGUUGGUGGGCAAAUUCCAGCCCUGUUGGACAGCAGAACCCCUUACAGCAAAUCAGUGUCAGAAAUGGCACUUCAGGAGGAACACAUACCAUUUAUUUUGUACUCCCCAUGGAAUAGCACGAAGUGAUUUGCAAAUGUCUCAUUAAUCUUCACGAAACCCCUGCGUGAUAAUAAUAAUAUUAUUAUAAUGUUUAAGGAUAGAACUGUGGCAAAGCCGAUGGCUUCUUUGAGCAUGUGCAGAAGUUCCAUGCAGCUCAGCUUUCAAUAUUAGAGCCUAAGGAAAACUGUCAGCAAAGGUAAAUCUUGGUGUUUGGCCUUUCUCUGUUGCUCUGGACGUAGCUUGAGUUUCUUACUGAUGACAGUUGUGUUAGAAAUAGCUCACCAGAGGUUUGCCAGAUGGCAGGUAGCCUCUGGAAUUAGCCCAGAUGUGUUUGAAAGUACAACAGGGCAGGCCUAGAGAUUACCACUACUUACAAUUAUAGAUAAACGAAUGGAGAAAGAACACCUCUUAGGUGCGCGGCACUGUGCCAGGUGCUGUGGGAAUAUGAAGUUUGAACAUAGAUGUUGCCCUCAAUAGGCUGACAUGGACUUGGGACGAUGGGAUGUAAAUCCAGGUAAAUUUUUUUUCUUUUUAUGGCUCCACCUGCAGCAUAUGGAAGUUCCCAAGCUAGGGAUGGAAUCGGAGCUGCAGCUGUGGCCUAUGUCAUAGCCAUGGCAACACCUGAUCCCAGCUGCCUCUGUGACCUUGCUACAGCUUAUGGCUACACCAGAUCCUUAACCCACUGAGCCAGAUCAGGGAUCAAACCCACAUCCUCACAGAGAUAACACUGGGGGUUUUAACCUACUGAGCCACAAUGGGAAUUUCCUCCAGGAAAAUCUUUUUAUUCUUUUCUUUUCUCUUUGGGGCCACGCCGGCAGCAUAUGGGAAGUUCCCAGAGAGGGGUCUCACAGAGAUGUGGGAUCCGAGCUGCGUCUGCAACCUACACCAUAGCUCACAGCAAUGCUGGAUCCCUGACCCACUGGGCAAGGCCAGGGUUUGAACCUACAUCCUCAUGGAUACUAGUCGGAUUUGUUUCCACUGCGCCACCAUGGGAACUCCCUCCAGGAAAAUCUUAACAGCAGUAUUUGGUUAACAAGACAAGAUAGUGGUAUCAGAAGUGACACAAGAUACACUGUGACUCUUUGGUCUAUUCUAGCCAAACUGGUUGCCUUGUUGUUUCUCAAACAUAGCAAGCUGGUUUCUACGUCAUGAUCUUCAUACUUGCUCUUCUGCUGCUUGAAACACUCUUCCGCCUUAUUUUCACAUGGCUUUUUCCAUCACUUUAAGUCUCCUCUUCAUCAGAAAUGUUUCCCCUGACUACAACCACUCGAUUUCAAAGAAUUUCCCUUCCUCUCCCACCUUGAUAACUUUCUAACCUCUUACUUGCUUUAUUUUUCCUUAUUGCAUUUGUUUGCUUGAAAUUAUAUUUUGUCUUUAUUUGGUUACUUGUUUAUUGACUGUCUCUGACACUAAAACAUCAAACCCCCCCAAUGGCAGAGUUUUGACUUUUUCACUUCUACAUCACAAAAAUCUGGAACAGCCCCUGGCACAAUAAUGGAUGCUUAGUCAGCAUACCUUAAACGGAGGGGCAGAGUGAAUGUACAAGGCAUGUGAAGAUACAGUGAGGGAACUCGUUUUGCUGGUAUCAAGGGGUUAUUUUGGAGAAGUAUCUGUCCAGUUCCAGUUCUGUUUCCUAGAACCUACUGGGUUGUACAUAUAACAACAAGGAUCAUUUUUAAAAGUGUUACUUCCGCAGACGCGGCUCGGAUCCCGCGUUGCUGUGGCUCGGUGUAGGCUGGUGGUUACAGCUCUGAUUCGACCCCUAGCCUGGGAACCUCCAUAUGCUGUGGGAGCAGCCUAAGAAAUAGCAAAAAGACAAAAAAAAAAAAAGUGUUACUUCCCCCUGCUUCUCUCUUUUCCCUUCUCCCCAUCAUGGAUGGCUCUGUGCUACAGUCCAGAAUUAUAAACUCCCCACUGGACAGUCUUCCUGCAGAUACCCCAAACUUUAUAUUUAUAGCAUUAUACUCAUUAUCUCUCCUUCUCCAAGCUUGCUUCUCUUCCUGUUUUUCUUAUUUCAUGUGGGAAUAUGACAUCAUCCCUGAAUCGUUCCUCUGCCCCCCAUCUCCAGUCAGUCACUGAGUGCUUUCUACUCUCUCUCCAAGUCCCUCUCAGUUCUUCUCCACCUUUCCAGUCUCACCGCCAUGAUCAUUUCAUAACAGCCUCCCUGCUUUCUGUUUCUCUUUUAUGUGUUUCAUCUUCCAGGAAGUAGCCAAGUUAUUUUUGUAAAGCAUAGAUUUGGUGGCAUUGCUCUCAAGGGCUGCUGGGAUGAUUGAACCCUGGCCCUGACCUGUCCUUCUGGCAGCACUGUCUGUGUUCCUUCCACACCACUUGCUGGUCCCUGGACACACCACCCACUGACACAUCACCAAGCCAUCGCUCCUGCUAGCUGCGCAUGCUCUAACUCCUCAGACAUCUCAUCCACCUUUUCCGCAUGAGUGAACUCAGUCUUCAAGCCCAGCUUAGAGGUCAUCUCUUCUGAUAACCCCAACCUUGCUGUCAGCCACAGAGCUCCUUGGCAUUUUGUUCAGAGCUCCAUUAGAAGGUUUUACUGGACCAUAUUUAGUGUAUAUGAUAUGACCCAUGUCCCUAAGAGAAUAUGAAUUAACAUGAUGAGCAGUGAAUGCACUGUGCCAAGCCAGGACUGUGCCAAGCGAUUUAUAUGCAAUAACCCUCAACAGCCCUGUGGGUGGGUGACAUCACUACCAUACUAUUUCUGAGCACAGGGUGGUCACGUCUCUCCAGUAAGAUCCCACAGCCAGGAAAUGGUAGAACCAGGAUUCAAACUGGGAAGUCCGCAUUCUCAAGCCCUACCUUAGACCACAUCCAUGAGGAUUCAAGGGCUUGUCUCAUUCACCUUCAUAUUUCCAGUGUCCAAUAUUGCUAUACAAUAAAUGUGUUUUAAAUAGUAUAAUAGAAGAAAAAUGAUUAGGAAGCAGGAAUACUUAGUCAUUAAAAAACUGAUAGAUCACAAUGAAGGUAUUAUGCCGGUUCCUCCAUGCAAGGGUUAAAAAUGAGCUCUCUUGAACUUGUACCAUCAUUUUUAAGAAGAAAGAAUGAUGAUGCCAUAUAGUGGGAGGAAGUUACUCCACAAGUAGAUGCAGACUCCUGAGGGGUUCUUGAUCAGGAUUGGGAUGGCUCUCGGUGUGGCUGUGUUCCUCAGAAUGACCCAGAAGUCUGUGUUCUCAAAUGGCAGGUUGACUUUCAGAAAAAAAGUGUCUAUUCCUUGAAGACUGGAAUUCUGUCAGCAAAUAUGCCAACAAAAGAGUUAAAAGUAUUAUGUCAAGGCAAGCAUUUAAUUGAGUCCAAUGUUUCUUCUUGAGCCUCUGUGUAUAACGAAAUGCAGUCAGACUCUGAAACACCUGCAUGGCUUUUUCUGGUUCUGGUUAAUGUAUUGAAAAAUCAGGCACAGUCAUACCUCUAAGCAUAGAUGAAAUGUGCAAUUAAUGAUGAGACAAGCAGUAAAGCUCCCUGGUAUGU
rnacentral:lncRNA from 1 species